rnacentral:rRNA from 1 species
CACGUAGGGGGCAAGCGUUGUCCGGAUUUAUUGGGCGUAAAGAGCUCGUAGGCGGCUCAGUAAGUCAGGUGUGAAACCUCCAGGCUCAACCUGGAGACGCCACCUGAUACUGCUGUGGCUAGAGUCCGGUAGGGGAGCGUGGAAUUCCUGGUGUAGCGGUGAAAUGCGCAGAUAUCAGGAGGAACACCAGCGGCGAAGGCGGCGCUCUGGGCCGGUACUGACACUGAGGAGCGAAAGCGUGGGGAGCAAACAGG